rnacentral:rRNA from 1 species
GACGAACGCUGGCGGCGUGCUUAACACAUGCAAGUCGAACGGAAAGGCCUGCUUUCCCUUGUGGAUUGCGGGUACUCGAGUGGCGAACGGGUGAGUAACACGUGAGUGAUCUGCCCCCAACUUGGGUAUAAGCCUGGGAAACUGGGUCUAAUUCCCGAUAGGACUGCAGGGUGGUGCCUGUGGUGGAAAACGAUUUUCUAGUGGUUGGGGAUGAGCUCGCGGCCUAUCAGCUUGUUGGUGGGGUAAUGGCCUACCAAGGCGGCGACGGGUAGCCGGCCUGAGAGGGUGGACGGCCACAUUGGGACUGAGAUACGGCCCAGACUCCUACGGGAGGCAGCAGUGGGGAAUAUGCACAAUGGGCGGAAGCCUGAUGCAGCGACGCCGCGUGGGGGAUGACGGCCUUCGGGUUGUAAACUCCUUUCGACCGCGAGGAAGCCACCUGGUUGGAAGGGUGGUGACGGUAGUGGUAGAAGAAGCACCGGCUAACUACGUG